rnacentral:rRNA from 1 species
AAACAUGUCUUUUUGUAUUAAAUUUAAAGUCUAACCUGCCCACUGAUAAGUUAAAUGGCCGCAGUAUUCUAACUGUGCAAAGGUAGCAUAAUCAUUAGUCUUUUAAUUGAAGGCUUGUAUGAAUGGUUGGACGAGAUAUUAACUGUUUCAAUUAAAGUUUUUAUAGAAUUUUAUUUUUUAGUCAAAAAGCUAAAAUGUUAUUAAAAGACGAGAAGACCCUAUAAAUCUUUAUACUAAACUGGUUUUGAUCAUAUAGAUAAAUUAGAUUAUUAUUAAAUUUAGUAUUUUAUUGGGGUGAUAUUAAAAUUUAAUUAACUUUUAAUAAUGGAAGACAUUUAUUUAUGAAUAAUUGAUCCGUUUUUAGUGAUUAGAAAUUUAAGUUACUUUAGGGAUAACAGCGUAAUUUUUCUGGAGAGUUCAUAUCGAUAGAAAAGAUUGCGACCUCGAUGUUGGAUUAAGAUACAGACUUGGGCGUAGCAGUUCAAGUUUUAAGUCUGUUCGACUUUUUAAAUCUUACAUGAUCU